rnacentral:lncRNA from 10 species
CACUCCCUCCCUCUUCCUCAACCAAAGUCAUCCUUCAACUACUUCCCUGGAUCUCUUUCUUCUUCCAUUCACAACCAAACGGAAAUCAUUUUCCUCACUUAUCGUCUCCAUUUUAUCCUCCAAUUUACUCCCUCAACUCCUUGAAACUUAGCUUCCCCGGUCACUAUGCCAAUAAAUCUGCUCUUGCCAAAUGCAUAUGUGAUCUCCUUCCUGCUGAAUCCAAUAGACAGUUCUUAAAAUACGCUUUCCCA